GACGAACGCUGGCGGCGUGCUUAACACAUGCAAGUCGUACGGUAAGGCCCUUUCGGGGGUACACGAGUGGCGAACGGGUGAGUAACACGUGAGUAACCUGCCCACAACUUUGGGAUAACGCUAGGAAACUGGUGCUAAUACUGGAUAUGUGCUCCUGCUGCAUGGUGGGGGUUGGAAAGCUCCGGCGGUUGUGGAUGGACUCGCGGCCUAUCAGCUUGUUGGUGGGGUAGUGGCCUACCAAGGCGGCGACGGGUAGCCGGCCCGAGAGGGUGACCGGCCACAUUGGGACUGGGAUUCGGCCCAGGCUCCGACGGGUGGCAGCAGUGGGGAAGAUUGCACAAGGGGCGCGAGCCUGAUGCAGCACCGCCGCGGGCGGGAUGACGGCCAUCGGGUUGUAAUCCGCUUUCAGCAGGGACGAAGCUUUUUGUGACGGUACCUGCAGAAGAAGCACCGGCUAACUACGUG
rnacentral:rRNA from 1 species